GGAAACGGACGCUAAUACCGCAUACGUCCUACGGGAGAAAGCAGGGGACCUUCGGGCCUUGCGCUAUCAGAUGAGCCUAGGUCGGAUUAGCUAGUUGGUGAGGUAAUGGCUCACCAAGGCUACGAUCCGUAACUGGUCUGAGAGGAUGAUCAGUCACACUGGAACUGAGACACGGUCCAGACUCCUACGGGAGGCAGCAGUGGGGAAUAUUGGACAAUGGGCGAAAGCCUGAUCCAAAAGUGCCGCGUGUGUGAAGAAGGUCUUCGGAUU
rnacentral:rRNA from 1 species